rnacentral:rRNA from 1 species
CAGCCGCCACGGGAAUACGGAGGGUGCAAGCGUUAAUCGGAAUUACUGGGCGUAAAGCGCACGCAGGCGGUCUGACAAGUCAGAUGUGAAAUCCCCGGGCUUAACCUGGGAACUGCAUUUGGAACUGUCAGGCUGGAGUCUUGUAGAGGGGGGUGGAAUUCCAGGUGUAGCGGUGAAAUGCGUAGAGAUCUGGAGGAAUACCGGUGGCGAAGGCGGCCCCCUGGACAAAGACUGACGCUCAGGUGCGAAAGCGUGGGGAGCAAACAGGAUUAGAUACCCCUGUAGUCCCUGUCUCUUAUAA